UACGUGAAACCGCUCAGAGGUAAACGGGUGGAUCCGCAAAAGUCGGCCGGCAGAAUUCAGCGCGGCGCGCGGCUCCGGGGCUGCUGUAGUUUGGGAUCCUUCGGACCUGACUGCGGUGCCGUGCCGGGCCCCGCCGUGUGCACUUUCUGUCGGCAGAGGGCCACAACCGAUUCGGUUGGCGGUGAGAUGUCAGGUAGGGUUGUAGGUGGGGGCGUUCGCGUCCCUACCAGCCUCGCUUGUCGAGCCGCCUCCGGACCGAGGGACCGCCGAGCACCUCGAGGCCACCUUCCUCUCGGGGUGAGUUCGACUGGGAGAGACUGGGCAACCGUGUCUUCCGAACGCUCACUUUCGAUUUGCGUGAGGCUGGCCGGGUGUAUGUGUGGGUUUGUGGCGAGUCUGUCGGCACUCCACCCGACCCGUCUUGAAACACGGACCAAGGAGUCUAACAUGCGCGCGAGUCAUUGGGUGGUACGAAACCCAAAGGCGCAGUGAAAGCGAGGUCAGUCAAAUGCCUAGGUGGGAUCCGUCCUCUUUUCCUUCUCUCGGGAGGGUCAUUUGGGGGCGGCGCACCACCGGCCCGUCCCGUCUGCGUCGGCAGUGGGGCGGAGCAAGAGCGCGCACGCUGGGACCCGAAAGAUGGUGAACUAUGCCUGAGUAGAACGAAGCCAGA
rnacentral:rRNA from 1 species